GAUGAACGCUGGCGGCGUGCCUAAUACAUGCAAGUCGAGCGAACAGACGAGGAGCUUGCUCCUCUGACGUUAGCGGCGGACGGGUGAGUAACACGUGGAUAACCUACCUAUAAGACUGGGAUAACUUCGGGAAACCGGAGCUAAUACCGGAUAAUAUAUUGAACCGCAUGGUUCAAUAGUGAAAGACGGUUUUGCUGUCACUUAUAGAUGGAUCCGCGCCGCAUUAGCUAGUUGGUAAGGUAACGGCUUACCAAGGCAACGAUGCGUAGCCGACCUGAGAGGGUGGUCGGCCACACUGGAACUGAGACACGGUCGAGACUCCUACGGGAGGCAGCAGUAGGGAAUCUUCCGCGAUGGGCGAAAGCCUGACGGAGCACCGCCGCGUGAGUGAUGAAGGUCUUCGGAUCGGAAAACGCUGUUAGUAGGGAAGAACAAAUGUGUAAGUAACUAUGCACGUCUUGACGGUACCUAGUCAGAAAGCCACGGCUAACUACGUG
rnacentral:rRNA from 1 species